rnacentral:rRNA from 1 species
AUUGAACGCUGGCGGAAUGCUUUACACAUGCAAGUCGAGCGGCAGCACGGGGGCAACCCUGGUGGCGAGCGGCGAACGGGUGAGUAAUACAUCGGAACAUGCCCAGUCGUGGGGGAUAACACUUCGAAAGAAGUGCUAAUACCGCAUACGUCCUGAGGGGGAAAGCGGGGGAUCGCAAGACCUCGCGCGAUUGGAGUGGCCGAUGUCAGAUUAGCUAGUUGGUGGGGUAAAGGCCUACCAAGGCAACGAUCUGUAGCUGGUCUGAGAGGAUGAUCAGCCACACUGGGACUGAGACACGGCCCAGACUCCUACGGGAGGCAGCAGUGGGGAGUUUUGGACAAUGGGGGCAACCCUGAUCCAGCCAUUCCGCGUGAGUGAAGAAGGCCUUCGGGUUGUAAAGCUCUUUCGGCAGGAACGAAACGGUGAGCUCUAACAUAGCUUGCUAAUGACGGUACCUGAAGAAGAAGCACCGGCUAACUACGUG